GUAUGAGUCACCAUGCCUGGUCCAAAUUCAUACGUCGAAAUCCUCCCUGCUAAUGUGAUAUUUGGAGACAGGGCCAUUGGCAGGGGAUUAGGCCAAGAGGGAGGAGCCUCAAAAAUGGGAUUGGUGCCAUUAUGCCAAAAGACACGGGCCAGCUGCUUCCUAUCUCUCUGCCAUAUGAGGGCACAACCAGGAAGAGGCCCUCACCAGCCACCAAACCUACAGGCACCUUGAGCUCGGACUUCCAGCCUCCAGAACUGAUUCUCGGCAAUUGGAUGAUGGUGUGUAUUGGGGUGAAUUCCUUCAUGUUUCUUCGGUUUGAGAUUUGUUGAGCUUCUUCGGGAUGAGUUUCAUCAGAUCUGGAAAAAUUCUAGCCAUUAUUGUCUUCAGGUUUUCACUCAUCCAGAAUGGGCUUCUCCAGUGGACCUCACAGGUGUUCCCUCUCCAAGACACACUGACCUAUGUCUAAAGUGGAACCUCAGCUGCAGAGGGCCUGACUUGCAGAGCCAGCUUGACAGCCGUCUCUGGAAGAGAACAAAAGCAUUUGCCUUUUUCUUUCUACCUCCAGAUCAUUUACUCUCCAUGAAGACAUCUCACUCAAAGUACAUUUUCUAUGUCAGAAUGCAAUAGCAGGACUAUUUGCCUGCCCACGUUAAACUAGAAGGCAAGCCUGCACUUAAUCAGCAAAAAGAAGGCGGUGCUCCAAAGGCAGACCAUGUACUGACAGCACCUGAGACACUCCUCCUCUCAGUUCAUCGCCUCUUCCCAAUUUCUUCUUGACCUAGGCAGGUCAAGAGAGCAUCACCGGGGCUGGGUCACGAAUCUCUACCACUCCCAGUCAUGGGUUCUCCCAAGCUCCUCUCAACACCCAACAGAACCGGGGCCGAGGCAGCUGCUGCACACACACACACGAGGUGAUGCCUGGGAAGCCUCCUGGGGGACCAGUGAUCCUCAGCGGUGGGGAGCAGAUGGGAGGGGUGCUCUGCUCAGGGCAGGAAGGCAAGAGCCAGAACCACAGCGCUGCCGCUGCUCACCGCGGCCAGCCCAAGCAGCAGGGCUCCCUCCUCCCUGUCUGCCAGCCCUCCCCAACGCACUCGGUAAGGGCAAGGGCGUCCCGGGGAUCCGGUCACGAAUCGCUCAGACCUUCUAAGAGACCUUUAGAGGCUCUGGGUGCACAUCCCCGGCCGGAUCUGUGAUUUACAAACAUCUUCCCCCUUCCUGUGGUCGUCCUUUCUUGAUGGUGUCCUUUGUAGCACAAAGGUUUUUAAUUUUGAUCUUAGA
rnacentral:lncRNA from 1 species